GACGAACGCUGGCGGCGUGCUUAACACAUGCAAGUCGAACGGAAAGGCCCUGCUUGUGGGGGGUGCUCGAGGGGCGAGCGGGUGAGAAACACGUGAGUAACCUGCCCUUGACUUUGGGAUAACUUCAGGAAACUGGGGCUAAUACCGGAUAGGAGCACCUGCGGCAUGGUGGGGGGGGGAAAGUGUAGGCGGGGGGGGAUGGACUCGCGGCUUAUCAGCUUGUGGGGGGGGUAGUGGCUUACCAAGGCUUGGACGGGUAGCCGGCCUGAGAGGGGGAACGGCCACAUUGGUCCUGAGGUGCGGACCAGACUCCUACGGGGGGCAGCAGUGGGGAAUAUUGCCCAAUGGGCGGAAGCCUGAUGCAGCAACGCCGCGUUCGUGAUGACGGCCUUCGGGUUGUAAACCGCUUUCGCCUGUGACGAAGCGUGAGUGACGGUAAUGGGUAAAGAAGCACCGGCUAACUACGUG
rnacentral:rRNA from 1 species